rnacentral:rRNA from 1 species
AGCGAACGCUGGCGGCAGGCCUAACACAUGCAAGUCGAACGAACCUUUCGGGGUUAGUGGCGGACGGGUGAGUAACACGUGGGAACGUGCCCUUAGGUUUGGAAUAACUCAGGGAAACUUGUGCUAAUACCGAAUGUGCCCUUCGGGGGGAAGAUUUAUCGCCCUUAGAGCGGCCCGCGUCUGAUUAGCUAGUUGGUUGAGGUAAUGGCUCACCAAGGCGACGAUCAGUAGCUGGUCUGAGAGGAUGUUCAGCCACAUUGGGACUGAGACACGGCCCAAACUCCUACGGGAGGCAGCAGUGGGGAAUCUUGCGCAAUGGGCGAAAGCCUGACGCAGCCAUGCCGCGUGAAUGAUGAAGGUCUUAGGAUUGUAAAAUUCUUUCACCGGGGACGAUAAUGACGGUACCCGGAGAAGAAGCCCCGGCUAACUUCGUG